rnacentral:misc_RNA from 1 species
UGAUAGCAGACAGACAUUUAAAAAAUACAAACAUGUGGUCUUUCAAAGCUUCUCAAGUAGUUGCACGGCGAUGGUUUUGUAAAAGUUCCAUUUCCAGAGCAGGAAUAGAUUUGAUGUCAUUAGAAAAAAAGCAAAGUCCAGGACGUGAAGAGUUUUAUUUCGAUAUUCUGUACGGUAUUCAUCCAAUCAGUUGCGCCCUCGAAGCAAAACGUCGGACCAUAGAGACCGUCUACUACCGAAGAGAUUUGCUGAACCACAGUGGACGAGUCAAGGAAAUACUGGAACGAUGUUGGGAGGAAAAUAUCAAAACUCUACCGAUACCGGCGAGCAAAAUUGACACAAUUGUACCUAAAGGAAAGCCACAUCAAGGGCUACUUGCAAAGACUACUCGUUUGUAUUACAUACCUACGCCCUGCACUCAGUCUAUUGCUCAAUUAUCCUCUGAGAAAGAGGCUUCCAAACCUGUGUGGCUUCUGCUCAAUGAAAUACAGGAUCCCAUGAAUUUCGGCUCCAUAUUAAGGUCAGCUUACUUUAUGGGAUGUGAUAAGAUUUUCGUCACUUCUCACAAAAGCUGUUCAUUGACUCCAGUUGUAAGCAAAGCCAGUUCUGGGGUCAUGGAGCUGAUGCCUAUCCAUUCCAUCAUGAACACAACUGAAUUUUGCCAAGUUUUAAAAGAGUCCAAAUGGGAUGUUGUGGGAACAGGAUCUAAGACUGACGAAUCCAACGGGACGGCAUGUAAGCCUACUCCAGUUGGUUCAUUUCAAUUGAGUAAUCCAACUCUCAUCAUAUUAGGAAACGAAGGGCGUGGGCUUCCGGACGAACUUGUGGACCUCUGCACCCACCAAAUCUACGUUGAAUCUCGAAGCAACCUCAAUAAGAACGUGGAUUCGAUGAAUGUUUCCGCUGCUGCCGCCGUUAUCUUGCACAGCGUUCUCAAUAAUAGCAACAACAAUCGCAGAUAGUCGUUCGGAAUUCCUUACUUUGUCAUGCACUUUCGUUUAGAGUAUAUGCUUCAGGCGACUUAGGCGUGUUUCCCUCACAAUGCAAAGGUCCCACUCAUUUCUUUCUUUAAGUCUUCAUUCUCUACGUGCGCGCUACCAGGGCUGGAUCGCAAGAUUGAUUAGUCUUAGUUCCAAGGACUUGCAAUUUUUUGAACGGAUUAUUCUAUAUACAUUGUGUUUAAACUGAAGGUGGCGAUAUGCAGAGGUUUUUUCGAUCAAGAAAGAGAAUUCUGUUGUUGGCGAUGACCGUCUUGCUAAUUGUUUUCUUGAGUGAUUGUGCAGUGGACGCCGCGGUUGCAGGACAGCGGAUAUCGGAUAUUAAAGAGGACUCUGUAUUAUUAACAUCGCCAGCGCACAACAUCGUCAAGAGGCACUUUAAAUUUUACGAUGAUAAAAAGUAUGGAGAUGGUAGUUUAAAGAAAUUUUUCAUCAUGCUCAAGAUUAUUUUGACACUUUUUGGUAAACAUUAGCAUUUCCCUUGAAUUAGAUUUUCCUUUGUGUCCUUAUAAGUGAAUGUACUACUGUAUUGUGUAAGAUUAUGCGUCCAACACUAUUCACCCCAUUUCUCAGGCAUGUACUAAAAGAAUGCUUUAGAGACAUUUACUACUGUUCCAUCAAUCAUUUAUGUAUUAAAAAUGGUCAAAUGAAGAAAAACACAAAACAACCCCCAAAUAUUGCAAUAAAACUGAGUCAAUAAGUUAAA